rnacentral:rRNA from 1 species
AAUAGAUACCCCGGUAGUCCACGCCGUAAACGAUGAGUGCUAAGUGUUAGGGGUUUCCGCCCCUUAGUGCUGCAGCUAACGCAUUAAGCACUCCGCCUGGGGAGUACGGUCGCAAGACUGAAACUCAAAGGAAUUGACGGGGGCCCGCACAAGCGGUGGAGCAUGUGGUUUAAUUCGAAGCAACGCGAAGAACCUUACCAGGUCUUGACAUCCCAUUGACCACUAUGGAGACAUAGUUUUCCCUUCGGGGACAACGGUGACAGGUGGUGCAUGGUUGUCGUCAGCUCGUGUCGUGAGAUGUUGGGUUAAGUCCCGCAACGAGCGCAACCCUUGUUCUUAGUUGCCAUCAUUUAGUUGGGCACUCUAAGGAGACUGCCGGUGACAAACCGGAGGAAGGUGGGGAUGACGUCAAAUCAUCAUGCCCCUUAUGACCUGGGCUACACACGUGCUACAAUGGACGGUACAAACGGUUGCCAACCCGCGAGGGGAGCUAAUCCGAUAAAACCGUUCUCAGUUCGGAUUGUAGGCUGCAACUCGCCUACA